CCUACGGGAGGCUGCAGUGAGGAAUAUUGGUCAAUGGGCGAGAGCCUGAACCAGCCAAGUCGCGUGAGGGAGUACUGCCCUAUGGGUUGUAAACCUCUUUUGUCGGGGAGCAAAAGCCGGACGUGUCCGGCUGUGAGAGUACCCGAAGAAAAAGCAUCGGCUAACUCCGUGCCAGCAGCCGCGGUAAUACGGAGGAUGCGAGCGUUAUCCGGAUUUAUUGGGUUUAAUGGGUGCGCAGGCGGAUUUUUAAGUCAGCGGUAAAAUCGUGGGGCUCAACCCCAUCCAGCCGUUGAAACUGGGGAUCUAGAGUGUGCGAGAGGUAUGCGGAAUGCGUGGUGUAGCGGUGAAAUGCAUAGAUAUCACGCAGAACCCCGAUUGCGAAGGCAGCAUACCGGUGCACAACUGACGCUCAGGCACGAAAGCGUGGGUAUCGAACAGGAUUAGAUACCCCUGUAGUC
rnacentral:rRNA from 1 species